rnacentral:rRNA from 1 species
ACGGGUGAGGAACACGUAGGAACCUGCCCUUAAGCGGGGGACAACCAAGGGAAACUUUGGCUAAUACCGCAUAAACUCGAAAGAGCAAAGCUGCCCGCAAGGGUGGCACUUAAGGAGGGGCCUGCGUCCGAUUAGCUAGUUGGUGAGGUAAAGGCUCACCAAGGCGAUGAUCGGUAACUGGUCUGAGAGGACGGCCAGUCACACUGGGACUGAGACACGGCCCAGACUCCUACGGGAGGCAGCAGUGGGGAAUAUUGGACAAUGGGGGCAACCCUGAUCCAGCGAUGCCGCGUGGGUGAAGAAGGCCUUAGGGUUGUAAAGCCCUUUAGGUUGGGACGAAGUGUAGUAGUUGAUAAUGCUAUUGCAUUGACGGUACCAACAGAAUAAGCACCGGCAAACUCUGUGCCAGCAGCCGCGGUAAUACAGAGGGUGCAAGCGUUAAUCGGAGUUACUGGGCGUAAAGGGCGCGUAGGCGGUGAGAUGAGUGUGAUGUGAAAGCCCCGGGCUUAACCUGGGAAGUGCAUCGCAAACGAUCUGACUGGAGUAUAAGAGAGGGUGGCGGAAUUUCCGGU